UACGGAGGGUGCGAGCGUUGUCCGGAAUCAUUGGGCGUAAAGGGCGCGUAGGUGGCCCGGUCAGUUCGUGGUGAAAGCGCGGGGCUCAACCCUGCGUCGGCCAUGAAUACUGCCGCGGCUGGAGCACUGUAGAGGCAGGCGGAAUUCCGGGUGUAGCGGUGGAAUGCGUAGAGAUCCGGAAGAACACCGGUGGCGAAGGCGGCCUGCUGGGCAGUUGCUGGACACUGAGGCGCGGACAGCGUGGGGAGCAAACAGGGAUUAAGAUA
rnacentral:rRNA from 1 species